rnacentral:rRNA from 1 species
UACGGGGGGGGCAAGCGUUGUUCGGAAUUACUGGGCGUAAAGGGUGCGUAGGCGGUCCGCUAAGUUAGAUGUGAAAACUCUGGGCUCAACCCAGAGCCUGCAUCUAAUACUGACGGGCUAGAGUUCUGGAGGGGGUAGCGGAAUUCCUGGUGUAGCGGUGAAAUGCGUAGAUAUCAGGAGGAACACCGGUGGCGAAGGCGGCAUCCUGGACCGACACUGACGCUGAGGCGCGAAAGCUAGGGGAGCAAACGGG